UUAAGUCUGACCUGCCCUAUGAGUUAUUAAAUGGCUGCGGUACUCUGACCGUGCAAAGGUAGCAUAGUAAUUAGUUUUUUAAUUGGGAACUGGUAUGAAUGGUUUGACGAGAAAAAUACUGUCUCAAUUUAAUUUAAAUUAGAAUUUUAUUUUUAAGUAAGAAAGCUUAAAUAAUCUUAAAAGACGAGAAGACCCUAUAGAAUUUUAUAUUUUUAUAUUUUUUUGAAAGUUAAAGAAUUAGAGAUUCAAUUAUAUAUAAGAAAUAUUUGGUUGGGGCAAUUAAAAAAUUUAAUAAACUUUUUUUACAAUAAAAACAUUGAUAUAUGAUUAAGUGAUCCAUAAUUUAUGAUUAUAAGAUUAAAUUACCUUAGGGAUAAAAGCGUAAU
rnacentral:rRNA from 1 species